AUGCAAGUCGAACGCUGAAGCCCCAGCUUGCUGGGGUGGAUGAGUGGCGAACGGGUGAGUAACACGUGAGUAACCUGCCCCUGACUUCGGGAUAAGCCCGGGAAACUGGGUCUAAUACCGGAUACGACUGCCGGACGCAUGUCUGGUGGUGGAAAGUUUUUUCGGUUGGGGAUGGGCUCGCGGCCUAUCAGUUUGUUGGUGAGGUAAUGGCUCACCAAGACGACGACGGGUAGCCGGCCUGAGAGGGCGACCGGCCACACUGGGACUGAGACACGGCCCAGACUCCUACGGGAGGCAGCAGUGGGGAAUAUUGCACAAUGGGGGAAACCCUGAUGCAGCGACGCAGCGUGCGGGAUGACGGCCUUCGGGUUGUAAACCGCUUUCAGCAGGGAAGAAGCCUUCGGGUGACGGUACCUGCAGAAGAAGUACCGGCUAACUACGUGCCAGCAGCCGCGGUAAUACGUAGGGUACGAGCGUUGUCCGGAAUUAUUGGGCGUAAAGAGCUCGUAGGUGGUUGGUCACGUCUGCUGUGGAAACGCAACGCUUAACGUUGCGCGUGCAGUGGGUACGGGCUGACUAGAGUGCAGUAGGGGAGUCUGGAAUUCCUGGUGUAGCGGUGAAAUGCGCAGAUAUCAGGAGGAACACCGGUGGCGAAGGCGGGACUCUGGGCUGUAACUGACACUGAGGAGCGAAAGCAUGGGGAGCGAACAGGAUUAGAUACCCUGGUAGUCCAUGCCGUAAACGUUGGGCACUAGGUGUGGGGGGCAUUCCACGUUCUCCGCGCCGUAGCUAACGCAUUAAGUGCCCCGCCUGGGGAGUACGGUCGCAAGGCUAAAACUCAAAGGAAUUGACGGGGGCCCGCACAAGCGGCGGAGCAUGCGGAUUAAUUCGAUGCAACGCGAAGAACCUUACCAAGGCUUGACAUACACCAGACCGGUCUGGAAACAGGUCUUCCCCUUUGGGGUUGGUGUACAGGUGGUGCAUGGUUGUCGUCAGCUCGUGUCGUGAGAUGUUGGGUUAAGUCCCGCAACGAGCGCAACCCUCGUUCUAUGUUGCCAGCACGUGAUGGUGGGAACUCAUAGGAGACUGCCGGGGUCAACUCGGAGGAAGGUGGGGAUGACGUCAAAUCAUCAUGCCCUUUAUGUCUUGGGCUUCACGCAUGCUACAAUGGCUGGUACAGAGAGAGGCGAACCCGUGAGGGCAAGCGAAUCCCUUAAAGCCAGUCUCAGUUCGGAUCGUAGUCUGCAAUUCGACUACGUGAAGUCGGAGUCGCUAGUAAUCGCAGAUCAGCAACGCUGCGGUGAAUACGUUCCCGGGCCUUGUACACACCGCCCGUCAAGUCACGAAAGUCGGUAACACCCGAAGCCGGUGGCCUAACCCCUU
rnacentral:rRNA from 1 species